rnacentral:rRNA from 1 species
UACGGAGGGUGCGAGCGUUGUCCGGAAUCAUUGGGCGUAAAGGGCGCGUAGGUGGCGGCUUAAGCGUGCGGUGAAAGCUCGGGGCUCAACCCCGAGUCGGCCGUGCGAACUGAGUCGCUUGAGCACUGUAGAGGCAGGCGGAAUUCCGGGUGUAGCGGUGGAAUGCGUAGAGAUCCGGAGGAACACCAAUGGCGAAGGCAGCUCGCUGGGACGGUACUGACGCUGAGGCGCGAAAGCGUGGGGAGCAAACAGG